CAACUUCAAUUUGUUGGGGACAAAUAAAAUGUAUAUGGCUAUCAAUCCCGCCAGCGGUGAGAAUCAUUCCUUCCCCGGCUAAGGCUUCGGUUCCAGGGCCAAUAAUAAUAUCUACAUUGUCUUGAAUAUAUGGAUUACCCGCUUUCCCGAUUUUAAAUAUCUUGCCAUCUUUAAUACCGAUGUCUGCUUUGACAACUCCCCACCAAUCAAGAAUCAAAGCAUUGGUAAUGACUAAAUCUACAGCGCCAUCGGCGUUAGAAAUGGGGGAUUGUCCCAUGCCAUCCCG
rnacentral:sRNA from 1 species